CGACCCUAGGUCAGGUGGGAUUACCCCCUGGUUUUAAGCAUAUUAAUAAGUAGAGGAAAAGAAACUUACAAAGAUUCUAUUAGAAACGUCAAGAAAAUUGAGAACAACCCAACUUUAGAGUUGGGCGGCUCCGUCAUCCAAAUUGUAGUUAGGAGAAUCGUCCUUAGAGGCGGACUGGGUCCAAGUCCCUUGGAAGGGGGCGCUAGACAGGGUGAGAGCCCCAUUAUGCCCGGACCCUGUUACCCCAUGAGGCGCUGUCUAUAAGUUGAGUUAUUUAGGAAUGUAGCCAAAUCGGGCAGUGAAUUCUGUCUAUGGCUAAAUACGGGCGAGAGACCGACAGAAAAUAAGUAGAGUGAGGGACAUAUGAAAAGGACUUUAAAAAGAGAGUCAAAGAGUGCUUAAAAUUAUUGGGAGAGAAGCAGAUAGGGUCGGUGAUGCACCUCAGUUGGAUGUGGAACAGUAACGAGAAAGUUCGCUGAACGACUCGUAGUGUGGACCAGUAUGGAUUGGGGGUGGCCAAAGACUGAAAUCUCGAUAUGCUCAUGGAAUGCCGUCUCCUUGAUUAUUGCAGGCAGUGCGCACCUCUGGCGUACUGCAGCUUUUGAGAACUCUGGAAGCUGGACUAUGAGCUCCCCAUUCGACUCAUCUUGAAACACGAACCAAGGAGUCUGAUAUGUGUGUGAGUCAAUGGGCGAGUAAACCCGUAAGGCGUAAGGGAGAUUAUUGGAGGGAUCCCCAACCUUGAUCUUCGGAGAAGGGUUAGAGUGUAGGUAUACCUAUUUGGACCUGAAAGAUGUUGAACAAUUCCUGAGCGGGGCGAAGCCAGAGGAAACACUGGUGGAGGCCCGCAGUGAUACUGACGUGCAAAUCGUUCGUCUGACUUGGUUAUAGGGGCAAAAAACUAAUCUAACCGUCUAGUAGAUAGUUCCCUCCAAAGUUUCCCUCAGGAUAGCUAGAGCUCACGUGCGAGUUCUAUUAGGUAAAGCUAAUGAUUAGAGGCCUCGAGGGUGAAAUGCCCUCACCUAUUCUAAAACUUUAAAUAGGUAAGAUGGCGCGGCUACUUUGUUGAGCUGCACCAUGGAAUUAAGAGCUCCAAGUGGGACAUUUUUGGUAAGAAGAACUGGUGAUGUGGGAUGAACCAAAAGCCAGGUUAUGGUUCCAAACUGCGCGCUAACCUAGAUUCUACCAAGGGUGUUGGUAAAUUAAGACAGCAGAAAGGUCGACAUGGAAGUUAAAUUUCGGUAAUAAGUGUGUAAAAACUUACCUGCCGAAUCAACCAGCCCCAAAAAUAGAUGGCGCUUAAGAGCGUGACCUACACCUGGUCGGUGGGAAAGUGCCAGACCCCGAUGAGUAGGAGGGAGCAGCAGUCGCUACAACAACCUUGGGUGCCAGCCCAGGCAGAGAGGCCGUCGGUGAAGAUCUUGGUGGUAGUAGCAAAUAUUCAAAUGAGAACUUUAAAGUCCGAAGGGGGGGAAAGGUUCCAUGUGAACAACACUUGCACAUGGGUUAGUUGAUUCUAAUGGUCGGGGGAGCCCCGACAGAUAGCGCAUUUCACACGUACGCUGAAAGUAAAUCGGGUUAAAAUUCUUGAAUUGAGAUGUGGCAAUUGACAACAAUAUUAUGAAGUUCGGAGACGUCACCAGAAGCCUUGGGAAAAUUUAUCUUUUCUGUUUAACACCCUACCCACACUAGAAUCAGCUAAGCCAGAGGUUGGGUCCAGCGGUUGGAAGAGCACUGCACAUCACCUGGUGUCUGAUGCGCUUUGGCAGCCCUUGAAAAUCUAGAGGACCGAAUACCAUCGUCGCUCGGUCGUACUCAUGAUUUGGGGUUAUUACUUAUCUAUUUCAUUCUAGGCAGUUUUCCUAAUGUCCCCCGCGU
rnacentral:ncRNA from 1 species